GACGAACGCUGGCGGCGUGCUUAACACAUGCAAGUCGAACGGAAAGGCCCUGCUUUUGUGGGGUGCUCGAGUGGCGAACGGGUGAGUAACACGUGAGUAACCUGCCCUUGACUUUGGGAUAACUUCAGGAAACUGGGGCUAAUACCGGAUAGGAGCUCCUGCUGCAUGGUGGGGGUUGGAAAGUUUCGGCUGUUGGGGAUGGACUCGCGGCUUAUCAGCUUGUUGGUGGGGUAGUGGCUUACCAAGGCUUUGACGGGUAGCCGGCCUGGGAGGGUGACCGGGCUCAUGGCGACUAAGGUAGGGAGCAGUGUCCAACGGGAGACAGUAGGGGGAAAUCUGACACAGUGAGCGGGAGUGGGAGACAGAGGCGCCGCGUGCGGGAAGACGGCCUUCGGGUUGUAAACCGCUUUCGCCUGUGACGAAGCGGGAGUGACGGUAAUGAGUAAAGAAGCACCGGCUAACUACGUG
rnacentral:rRNA from 1 species